GAUGAACGCUGACAGAAUGCUUAACACAUGCAAGUCUACUUGAACUUCGGUUUGGGUGGCGGACGGGUGAGUAACGCGUAAAGAACUUACCUCACAGUUAGGGACAACAUUUGGAAACGAAUGCUAAUACCUGAUAUUAUGAUUUUAGGGCAUCCUAAGAUUAUGAAAGCUAUAUGCGCUGUGAGAGAGCUUUGCGUCCCAUUAGCUAGUUGGAGAGGUAACGGCUCACCAAGGCGAUGAUGGGUAGCCGGCCUGAGAGGGUGAACGGCCACAAGGGGACUGAGACACGGCCCUUACUCCUACGGGAGGCAGCAGUGGGGAAUAUUGGACAAUGGACCAAAAGUCUGAUCCAGCAACUCUGUGUGCACGAUGACGUUUUUCGGAAUGUAAAGUGCUUUCAGUUGGGAAGAAAAAAAUGACGGUACCAACAGAAGAAGUGACGGCUAAAUACGUG
rnacentral:rRNA from 1 species